rnacentral:rRNA from 1 species
UACGGGGGGGGGCAAGCGUUGUUCGGACUUACUGGGCGUAAAGGGCUCGUAGGUGGCCAACUAAGUCAGACGUGAAAUCCCUCGGCUUAACCGGGGAACUGCGUCUGAUACUGGAUGGCUUGAGGUUGGGAGAGGGAUGCGGAAUUCCAGGUGUAGCGGUGAAAUGCGCAGAUAUCUGGAGGAACACCGGUGGCGAAGGCGGCAUCCUGGACCAAUUCUGACGCUGAGGAGCGAAAGCCAGGGGAGCAAACGGG